GACGAACGCUGGCGGCGUGCCUAAUACAUGCAAGUAGAACGCUGAAGAGAGGAGCUUGCUCUUCUUGGAUGAGUUGCGAACGGGUGAGUAACGCGUAGGUAACCUGCCUUGUAGCGGGGGAUAACUAUUGGAAACGAUAGCUAAUACCGCAUAACAAUGGAUGACACAUGUCAUUUAUUUGAAAGGGGCAAUUGCUCCACUACAAGAUGGACCUGCGUUGUAUUAGCUAGUAGGUGAGGUAACGGCUCACCUAGGCGACGAUACAUAGCCGACCUGAGAGGGUGAUCGGCCACACUGGGACUGAGACACGGCCCAGACUCCUACGGGAGGCAGCAGUAGGGAAUCUUCGGCAAUGGGGGCAACCCUGACCGAGCAACGCCGCGUGAGUGAAGAAGGUUUUCGGAUCGUAAAGCUCUGUUGUAAGUCAAGAACGAGUGUGAGAGUGGAAAGUUCACACUGUGACGGUAGCUUACCAGAAAGGGACGGCUAACUACGUGCCAGCAGCCGCGGUAAUACGUAGGUCCCGAGCGUUGUCCGGAUUUAUUGGGCGUAAAGCGAGCGCAGGCGGUUUGAUAAGUCUGAAGUUAAAGGCUGUGGCUCAACCAUAGUUCGCUUUGGAAACUGUCAAACUUGAGUGCAGAAGGGGAGAGUGGAAUUCCAUGUGUAGCGGUGAAAUGCGUAGAUAUAUGGAGGAACACCGGUGGCGAAAGCGGCUCUCUGGUCUGUAACUGACGCUGAGGCUCGAAAGCGUGGGGAGCGAACAGGAUUAGAUACCCUGGUAGUCCACGCCGUAAACGAUGAGUGCUAGGUGUUGGAUCCUUUCCGGGAUUCAGUGCCGCAGCUAACGCAUUAAGCACUCCGCCUGGGGAGUACGACCGCAAGGUUGAAACUCAAAGGAAUUGACGGGGGCCCGCACAAGCGGUGGAGCAUGUGGUUUAAUUCGAAGCAACGCGAAGAACCUUACCAGGUCUUGACAUCCCGAUGCUAUUUCUAGAGAUAGAAAGUUACUUCGGUACAUCGGUGACAGGUGGUGCAUGGUUGUCGUCAGCUCGUGUCGUGAGAUGUAGGGUUAAGUCCCGCAACGAGCGCAACCCCUAUUGUUAGUUGCCAUCAUUCAGUUGGGCACUCUAGCGAGACUGCCGGUAAUAAACCGGAGGAAGGUGGGGAUGACGUCAAAUCAUCAUGCCCCUUAUGACCUGGGCUACACACGUGCUACAAUGGUUGGUACAACGAGUUGCGAGUCGGUGACGGCAAGCUAAUCUCUUAAAGCCAAUCUCAGUUCGGAUUGUAGGCUGCAACUCGCCUACAUGAAGUCGGAAUCGCUAGUAAUCGCGGAUCAGCACGCCGCGGUGAAUACGUUCCCGGGCCU
rnacentral:rRNA from 1 species